rnacentral:rRNA from 1 species
GAUGAACGCUGGCGGCGUGCCUAAUACAUGCAAGUCGAGCGAACAGAUGAGGCGCUUGCUCCUCUGACGUUAGCGGCGGACGGGUGAGUAACACGUGUAUAACCUACCUAUAAGACUGGGAUCACUUCGGGACACCGGAGCUAAUACCGGAUAAUAUAUUGAACCGCAUUGUUCAAUAGUGAAAGACGGUUUUGCUGUCACUUAUAGAUGGAUCCGGGCGGCAUUAGCUAGUUGGUAAGUUCACGGCCUACCACGGCAAGCAUGCGUAACCGACCGGAGAGAGUGAUAGGCCACAUUGGAACUGGGACACGGACCAGGCUCCUGCGGGAGGCAGCAGUAGGGAAUGUGCCGCAGUGGGCGAAAGCAUGACGGAGCAAGGGCGAGUGAGUGAUGGAGGUCUUGGGAUCGUAAAGCUGUGUUAUGAGGGAAGAACAAAUGUGUAAGUAACUAUGCACGGCUUGACGGUACCUAAUCAGAAAGCCACGGCUAACUACGUG